rnacentral:rRNA from 1 species
GAUAAACGCUGGCGGCGUGCCUAACACAUGCAAGUCGAACGCGCUUUCUCUCGCAAGAGAGGGAGCGAGUGGCGGACGGGUGAGCAACACAUGGGUACCUACCUUGAAGUGAGGGAUACCGACGAGAAAUCGCCGACAAUACCGCAUAGGCUCUUUUUCGCGAGAGAGAGAGCAAAGUUUUCCGUAAGGGAGACGCUUUGGGAUGGGCCUGUGGCCGAUUAGCUAGCUGGUGGGGUAAUGGCUCACCAGGGCGACGAUCGGUAGCUGGUCUGAGAGGACGAUCAGCCACACUGGGAUUGAGAACGGCCCAGACUCCUACGGGGGGCAGCAGUGAGGAAUUUUUCCGCAAUGGGGGCAACCCUGACGGAGCAACGCCGCGUGCAGGAUGACGGCCUUCGGGCUGUAAACUGCUUUUUCUGUGGGACGAGACAC